GACGAACGCUGGCGGCGUGCCUAACACAUGCAAGUCGAACGGUGUAACUCCUUCGGGGGUUACUUAGUGGCGAACGGGUGAGUAACGCGUGAGGAACCUGCCUCUCAGUGGGGGACAACAGUUGGAAACGACUGCUAAUACCGCAUAAUGUAGCGAGACCGCAUGAUCUUGCUACCAAAGCUUUAUGUGCUGAGAGAUGGCCUCGCGUCUGAUUAGCUAGUUGGUGAGGUAACGGCUCACCAAGGCGACGACCAGUAGCCGGUCUGAGAGGAGGAACGGCCACAUUGGGACUGAGGUACGGGCCAGACUCCUACGGGAGGCAGCAGUGGGGAAUAUUGGGCAAUGGGGGAAACCCUGACCCAGCAACGCCGCGUGAAGGAAGAAGGCCCUCGGGUUGUAAACUUCUUUUACCAGGGACGAAGAACGUGACGGUACCUGGAGAAAAAGCCACGGCUAACUACGUGCCAGCAGCCGCCGUAACAC
rnacentral:rRNA from 1 species